UACAGAGGGUGCGAGCGUUGUCCGGAUUCACUGGGUUUAAAGGGUGUGUAGGCGGGCUAUUAAGUCAGUGGUGAAAUCUCCGGGCUCAACCCGGAAACUGCCAUUGAUACUAUUAGUCUUGAAUAUUGUUGAGGUAGGCGGAAUAUAUCAUGUAGCGGUGAAAUGCAUAGAUAUGAUAUAGAACACCGAUUGCGAAGGCAGCUUACUAAACAAUUAUUGACGCUGAGGCACGAAAGCGUGGGGAUCAAACAGG
rnacentral:rRNA from 1 species